CCCCAAUUCGAUUUUAUUAAUGGCUCCUAAUUCUCUUUCUUCUUUCUCAACGGUCACUUCGCUUCUCUCUUAUUUCUUCACCUUCAUCCCAUGUUCCAGUAUCAAGAUGACUACCGAAGCCGCCACCUCAUCUUUCCAGAAAACAGUGUUGUUACAUGACUGGUGGUUGAUCAAAGCCGAGCAGGAGUUCCAAGGGAAGAAAAUUGCUG